rnacentral:lncRNA from 1 species
UGUGUAUCUGAGAUCCUCUGAAGGAAAGUGGGUUCCUUCUUUUGUUUCUGCAUCCACAGCUGUUGCAUUUGAGCAAGUCCUCAUCUGCUGCAGACUAGGACUUUGCUACUCUGCUGUUGUUGCUAUGUUUUCCACUGUGUUACACUUACUAAAUCCUGAUAAAAUAUCUGCAGGUGUGGGCAUAGCCCUAAAAGCAGUGCUCUUGAAGGGUAUCUUGUAAGUUAACUUUGUUGGCAGAACUAGAAAAAAAAUACAGAAGAUCAGUAGAGACAGAUAAUCACACCAGAGGAGGAGGGAAGAAUAUGUUCAUUGACUGGCUCACAGCUAAGGAAUUGAUCAAAAGGAUCAAGUGUUAUCAUUGCUUGAGUCUCAGUUUAAUGAGGGAGAGGCAAGAUACAAGCUAUUCAACCUAACCCAAAAUCUAAGAAACAUCUAAGAUACUCCAAUGAAUUUAGAUAAGGAAAUCCUUCAGGAUUCCUACCUUGGAAGGAGCCAUAUAAUCAAUGGAGUAACAUGUCAGGAGCUGUUAGACAAAAUCGUGCUGACUGUACACAGCAGUGUUGCUGCAAAAUCUUGGAUGCUUUUCACAUACUGAACUUCAGAGGCUCAAACUGUGGGAUUUUUCUUGGAUCUCAGAGGAUGACAACAUAAGCCUUGUGGACAACUUCAGGCUUGGAGGCCAUUAGUAGGAUCUGGUGGGUGCCUCCCAAUCUCCUAUAACAAACAAAGCAUGUGCCAAACUUCAGAGUACAGAUAGUGAUAAAACAAGAGAAGGUUCAAAGCAGACAUAAGAUUUGGUGGAGCAGACUAUCCCACUCUCACUGUGCUGCCUGUGUAGAAUUAAGACUAAUCUGUUAGGGUCCUGCAAAUAGAUGAUAGGAAAUACUUUCUUCCUCUCAUCCACACCUCUUCUCCUCAUCACCACAAAACUAUCAGCCUAUUGCCCACAGACUUCUUUUGGGCUUGAGAAGAAUUUCAUGGACUCCCAAGGAUGAAAAACAAAUCUGUUGAUGACAGACUAGAAUUUGUGAAUAGAGCUAUGGUCUGCUGAGCUUGCAAGCCUGCUUGUAUGUGAUAUGUGUUGCUUUCUUUCUGAAAAAUAGCGAAGGUAACUUAUCUGUAAUUGUAAUCACAGCAUUUCUUUUGAUAUUAUCUUAAAAGUAUUGCUACAAUACAACUCCUUUCUUGCCUGUGCCUUGGAUCUUAAUCCAAUACAGGUCAGUCUAGUGUUGUUUAUAGAUGUUCCUGAUUAAUUCUUAACUUUCAUUACUGAUCCUAUUGACGUGAACCAUAUCUGUAAAUUAAUUUGCAUUGAAUAAAUGAAAACAAGGAAAAGUUGGGGAAAUUAAA